UAAGAAAGUAUUACAUUUCUUGCAAACCCAAUUAGACAUUCAAAAUAUGUUCAGCUCCCCUGAGCAUUAAAAAGAAUGAUCAGCGAAUCUUGGGCUUGGUCCUGAUUUGACAAUUUUAAGUUUUUAAGGUCGUUCUAAGUUCUUCAUUUGAAUUCUCCCAUAUGAAAUAAAAACAAUGCAAAAUGCCAGCUGAUUCUGAAACCUGCAUUGUGGAUCAUGCUGAUGACUUCCUGGAUCUUCCUGAUGUUGACUUGACAUCUCUCUUGCCUUUCUGAACCUGGAACCAGACUUAAUGAAUAUAUGGCAAGGUUCCUUCAGGAGCAAGGUUUUUUUCCUCUGGAGACUGAUUCUGUUCUUGCCCAUCUGAUUUAAUGCACAGGAAUAUUCCUGCUGAUUAAGGUACAUCAAAUCCUGGAAAGUUCUUGUCAACUGAUGUAGCUGAUGAGGACUCCAGGCUCACCGUGUGGUGUUGUCCCAAGAAACAGGAGACAAAGGAACUGUGUUUUCAAUAGUUGACUUUGAAGAUGACAUUUGUAUUUCUGAAUUAAAACCACAUUUGCCCAACGCUGCAAAGGGAGGAGGCAGGGGCAGAAGAGAGAGAAACCCUUUUGUUCUCCUCCUCAUGGUUCCCCCUCACCUGCCAGGGCCAAGCUCCAAAAUAAUUCUUAACAGCUGAGGUUAGCUGGGGACAUCUAAUCCCGGAAAGCUGUCUCUGAAUACCGGCACCAACACACAGCAUUUGAGUUUCACCAACAGUCAUUUACAUCUAAUUUCCCCAAACCUCUGAAGAAA